GAUGAACGCUGGCGGCGUGCCUAACACAUGCAAGUCGAACGGAGUCGUUUUGGAAAUCUCUUCGGAGAUGGAAUUCUCGACUUAGUGGCGGACGGGUGAGUAACGCGUCAGCAAUCUGCCUUUAAGAGGGGGAUAACAGUCGGAAACGGCUGCUAAUACCGCAUAAAGCAUUAAAUUCGCAUGUUUUUGAUGCCAAAGGAGCAAUCCGCUUUUAGAUGAGCUCGCGUCUGAUUAGCUAGUUGGCGGGGUAACGGCCCACCAAGGCGACGAUCAGUGGCCGGACUGAGAGGUUGAACGGCCACAUUGGGACUGAGACACGGCCCAGACUCCUACGGGAGGCAGCAGUGGGGAAUAUUGCGCAAUGGGGGAAACCCUGACGCAGCAACGCCGCGUGAUUGAAGAAGGCCUUCGGGUUGUAAAGAUCUUUAAUCAGGGACGAAACAAAUGACGGUACCUGAAGAAUAAGCUCCGGCUAACUACGUG
rnacentral:rRNA from 1 species